rnacentral:rRNA from 1 species
GAUGAACGCUGGCGGCGUGCCUAAUACAUGCAAGUCGAGCGAACGGACGAGAAGCUUGCUUCUCUGAUGUUAGCGGCGGACGGGUGAGUAACACGUGGAUAACCUACCUAUAAGACUGGGAUAACUUCGGGAAACCGGAGCUAAUACCGGAUAAUAUUUUGAACCGCAUGGUUCAAAAGUGAAAGACGGUCUUGCUGUCACUUAUAGAUGGAUCCGCGCUGCAUUAGCUAGUUGGUAAGGUAACGGCUUACCAAGGCAACGAUGCACAGCCGACCUGAGAGGGUGAUCGGCCACACUGGAACUGAGACACGGUCCAGACUCCUACGGGAGGCAGCAGUAGGGAAUCUUCCGCAAUGGGCGAAAGCCUGACGGAGCAACGCAGCGUGAGUGAUGAAAGUCUUCGGAUCGUAAAACUCUGUUAUUAGGGAAGAACAUAUGUGUAAGUAACUGUGCACAUCUUGACGGUACCUAAUCAGAAAGCCACGGCUAACUACGUG